rnacentral:rRNA from 1 species
GGGAUUGCCUCAGUAACGGCGAGUGAAGCGGCAACAGCUCAAAUUUGAAAUCUGGCCCCUCCGGGGUCCGAGUUGUAAUUUGUAGAGAGUGUUUCGGGUGAGACCACGGUCUAAGUCUGUUGGAACAUUACGUCAUAGAGGGUGAGAACCCCGUAUGCGACCGUGGCUCGAGCCCAUGUGAAGCCUCUUCGACGAGUCGAGUUGUUUGGGAAUGCAGCUCAAAAUGGGUGGUAAAUUUCAUCUAAAGCUAAAUACUGGCUGGAGACCGAUAGCGCACAAGUAGAGUGAUCGAAAGAUGAAAAGCACUUUGGAAAGAGAGUCAAACAGUACGUGAAAUUGUUGAAAGGGAAGCGCUGGCAACCAGACCUGUCCGUAGGCGAUCAGCCGCUGUUCUCAGCGGUGCACUCGUUCUGCGAUCAGGCCAGCAUCGGUUUCGGCGGUCGGAUAAAGGCCCGGGGAACGUAGCUCUCUUUCGGGGGAGUGUUAUAGCCCCGGGCGCAAUGCGGCCAGCCGGGACCGAGGACCGCGCAUUUAUGCUAGGAUGCUGGCGUAAUGGUUGUCAGCGACCCGUCUUGAAACACGGACCAAGGAGUCUAACAUCUAUGCGAGUGUUUGGGUGUCAAACCCAUGCGCGGAAUGAAAGUGAACGGAGGUGAGAACCCUUUAGGGCGCAUCAUCGACCGAUCCAGAAGUUUACGGAUGGAUUUGAGUAUGAGCAUAGCUGUUGGGACCCGAAAGAUGGUGAACUAUGCCUGAAUAGGGUGAAGCCAGAGGAAACUCUGGUGGAGGCUCGCAGCGGUUCUGACGUGCAAAUCGAUCGUCAAAUUUGGGUAUAGGGGCGAAAGACUAUC